AGUUCCCAGCUACUGUAACAACUGCAACUGGAGAUGAGCAGACAACCUGACACACUAUCCACAGAAAUACCUCGUGGUGGAAAAAAGCCACUUCACAUCCUUUCCACUUCUCAAAGUUAUGGUGCCAACCAAAAAUAUAAGCCCAUCAGCUCAGAAGACUUGUUCUUAAAUUACAUGUAAAGGCCUAUAAGUGGAAUUAUCAUUCUGAAGAAAACUUAGGAUUUCAACUUGUUUCAACAAUACAUCUUUGCUGAACACUGUUAUUUCCUCCCACAAAUAUGAUUAAUGCAGCACCACCAUAAGGAGCUCAAAGAGGAGAUGACCAAAGAAAAGAACAAUGCAGACAUCCCAUCUAUUCCCUGAUGCCAACCAAAAAUCAACUGUACAGAAGGCAGAAAGUCACAGAGGAGCUGCCUGCAGUCACUGCAGUCCCAGACACAAAGCAGCUCCUGCAGCACCAGCAUCUAACACCCCAAUUUUGCCUCUAUAUGGUAUCUGCUUAAAUCCCAAGUCCAAACUACUAAUGAUAAUAGUGUUAUGUACACACUGCAUUCAGAAGGACAAAAGCUUUCUUAUCAAAGCCGGAAGGCAUUUGAGGGCAGAAAAGAAACAAA